AUUACUAUCAAAAUCACCGAAGGUGAGAGUUCUUCCUUUCUAUGUCUAAUGCAGUGGUGAGUAGACUGCUUUGCUUUGCACAAAAUUUUUCUCUAGUUUCUUUAGUAUUAAUUGGGUUCUGCAUUCCUGUGGCAUGCAUAUUGAUCUUUUCACUUACUGCUACUCAGUAGUAGCGGCCUUUCACCAUUAGCCAUUAGGUUCUGCAGGAAGCUGGUAGUGCCAUAAAACUUAUUAAAGUAACUAUUGAGAGGAUCCUUGUUGUUGUCCUUCAGUUAUCAUGAAUAAUUCUACCUUAGUUUACUUUUGCUUUAAUAGUGGAACCUUCUGGAACCUUAAUUGCUUUUUUCACCUGGUGUCAAUGGAUUUCUAUGUUUUAAUAACCUCAAAUUGUUGUUUCAGCAUCCUGUAAUUUUGGCAUGACCAACUCCUGAAUAUUUUGCAGGUACGUCAAAAGUAGAAGUGAU
rnacentral:misc_RNA from 1 species